rnacentral:ncRNA from 1 species
CUGCCACAACGGCUUCCUGGCGUGGCAGGUAUACCCAACCGGAGCA